rnacentral:rRNA from 1 species
CCUACGGGAGGCAGCAGUGAGGAAUAUUGGUCAAUGGGCUUACGCCUGAACCAGCCAAGUCGCGUGAGGGAAGACUGCCCUAUGGGUUGUAAACCUCUUUUGUCAGGGAGCAAUUGGCGCUACGUGUAGCGUUAUCGAGAGUACCUGACGAAAAAGCAUCGGCUAACUCCGUGCCAGCAGCCGCGGUAAUACGGAGGAUGCGAGCGUUAGCCGGAUUUAUUGGGUUUAAGGGGUGCGCAGGGGGCGUGUCAAGUCAGCGGUAAAAUGUCGGGGCUCAACCCCGGCCGGCCGUUGAAACUGGCGUGCUUGAGUUGGAGAGAAGUAUGCGGAAUUCGUGGUGUAGCGGUGAAAUGCAUAGAUAUCACGAAGAACCCCGAUUGCGAAGGCAGCAUACCGGCUCCACACUGACGCUGAGGCACGAAAGCGUGGGUAUCGAACAGGAUUAGAUACCCGUGUAGUC